GGGGAUGUUCUUGGUUUUGACAGCGCUGAUGUCGGACGGUAAGCACGCCGGGCGUGGAGAGUUUGCCCGUAAAUCUCAGCUCCCGAAAAAAUAGUUGGCAACAACAACUUCGCACUCGCUGCUUAAUUAGACCAAGUCUAAUAGCUUAAUCCGCGACGCCAAGGCUGCGUCGCCGACGAGUAUCCCUCGGACUUUAGGCCGGUUAUGUUCCGAUCCAGGGGUAUCAUUCAAACCGGAUGCGCGGAGGGACUCCUCUACACUCCGUCAAGAUUCAGAGGAUAAGGGUCCGCUGGCCCGCUUUCCGGCAGGCCUUCCCCGACAAUCAAAGGAAAGAUAAGCGUGUAGAAAGCCGCCUGGUGCGGCGUUUGGACGGCGGUUCGACUCCGCCCAUCUCCACU
rnacentral:tmRNA from 1 species